rnacentral:rRNA from 1 species
CAAGGCUUGACAUACGCCGGAAAACCCUGGAGACAGGGUCCCCCUUGUGGUCGGUGUACAGGUGGUGCAUGGCUGUCGUCAGCUCGUGUCGUGAGAUGUUGGGUUAAGUCCCGCAACGAGCGCAACCCUUAUUCUGUGUUGCCAGCACGCCCUUUGGGGUGGUGGGGACUCACAGGAGACUGCCGGGGUCAACUCGGAGGAAGGUGGGGACGACGUCAAGUCAUCAUGCCCCUUAUGUCUUGGGCUGCACACGUGCUACAAUGGCCGGUACAAUGAGUUGCGAUGCCGUGAGGUGGAGCGAAUCUCAAAAAGCCGGUCUCAGUUCGGAUUGGGGUCUGCAACUCGACCCCAUGAAGUCGGAGUCGCUAGUAAUCGCAGAUCAGCAUUGCUGCGGUGAAUACGUUCCCGGGCCUUGUACA